GGGAAAUGUUCCCGGGAUUUUGAAGUCAUCAUGAAAUCAGAAAUGAUGAUGAAUGAGAAUAAGCAGUGUUCGGUCGAAUAUGAUGCGAAUAUUAAUAGAAAAGGCAGUUUUACAGAUCAACAAGUUCGUUCCAAACUAUAUGUCAGAUUUCCCUAAGAUGACGAAAGGAAAUACAUCGUUCUUGAUUUGAGAUGAAUGAGCCAUCGUCGGUAAACCACGGGUGAUUUACAUCGAUUCCAAUAUUCCCUCUUUCAUCACUUGUGGUCUCAAAACCAUGCUAUGCAGCACCUGCCUUACAGCUUACCAAGUCAAGGUACUGGCAAAUUUUGGAUGCGACUUUCUUGCUCAGAGAUGCACUGCGAAGAAUAAUUUCAACGCCUGAAGACGAAUCUCUCUUUUGUGCAAUCUGCAAAUGACAAAGUCUAAUCCCUUGUUGAGCAAGUUUUCUGGCACUUGUUGAAGACAUACACUUUUUUUCAACCAGAGGUGUAAAUGAAGAAAAUAGGUCCUUGAAGUUGAUGUGAUACAGGUCAUUCUUGGACAGGUUUUCAUUCAGUACACCCAUGAAGAGCUCUUGUAGCAAAAGUACAUCCUGCAGUGCGUCAUGAGCUGAAUAUUCCUUCUUGAGGAGAACUGAAACUAGGGUUUGUUGCCUGAAAUUUCCAACUUCUUCUUUCUUGAAUAAUUUUCGGGAUAAUUUUAAUGUGUCAAUGCAAAGAUGAACUGUUGAAAGAAAUUCGUUCAGCAGAUGAAAUUCACUUAGUUUGUGAAGGAGCACAGGAAUGUCAAAGGAGAUGAUGUUAUGUCCAACUAGCACAGGAUUCUCAAAGCCUUUCAAGAACUCGAUGAAGUCUAGGAGAGCAGCAUGGACGUUUACAGUUUCAACUCUUUGACCCUUGCAAAACAUUUGGUUGUCAUUGGAGGAAAAUCGAAUCCCAGUGACUCUGCUUGCAGCUAGUGACAUCCUCUUCCUGGGCACUACGUAUUUGUUCAUGACAGCUGUUCCACACACUGCAGAUAACUGUACAAUAUCAGAAGUUCUUCCGAGGCCUGUUGUCUCCAAGUCGAAAUGGACAAAACUCUCUGUUCCUUUGAGGGUUGGUCUGGAAGGAAUGAUGCAAUUUUCCUCAUCUGUCAUAGGGGAACUCAAUUCAAUGUUUUCAGAGUAGAUUGUGCCCUCUCUCACAGUACUUAAAGAAGCUUCGGAGGAUUUCCUUUUUUUCAGUUCAAGACGUCUCUUCUUAGUUUUUCUUAGCCUUUGUCGUGUGUUUUGCCAGAGACGGUUUCUGUCAAGACGCUUGCCAAGAAUACUGGAAUAGUGUCCUGGAGAGAGUGUUGCAGCUUGACAUACCUAGCUGCUGCUGAUACUCUGUGCAUCAAAGACCGUGAACGCCCAUAACAUCUAAAAAAAAAAGUUAUAUGAAAAGGGCAUGCCUGAGACCUUCCUCCUUGAGUGGCUGUCCAUUUGAAUCUCUUGAGAAUGAACACCAGUAGUCACUGCACAAUUUAUGUUCACCAAAGAUGUGAGGCACAAUCUGUGAAAGUCCUUCAUGGACAUCAUCACUGGUGUUGGCCUUGGCAAGAGCAUACAUAAAACACCUCACUAGGAAACUCCAAUUUCAAAGAGGAAGAAGUGGUGGAAUCGUUGUCACCGUGAAUGAUCUGCACUGGAUGGCCACUGUCUUUCAUUUUGUGGAGCAUAGACAUGGCCAUGUCUGGCUCCAUGGCCUUGCUAGAUCCAU